AAAUGACACUCUGCUACAAUGUAAAGUAGUAAGUGUACAGCCUGUAUAACAGUGUAAAUUUGCUGUCCCCUCAAAAUAACUCCACACACAGCCAUUAAUGUCUAAACCGUAGGCAACAAAAGUGAGUACACUGCUAAGUGGAAAUGUCCAAAUUCUGCCCAAUUAGCCAUUUUACCUCCGCGGUGUCAUGUGAUCUGAAAAAGAUUACUGUUGCUCUACAUAAAUAUGGCUAAGGCAAAGGCAACCUUCGGCACUCCAGAUGUUUUGGACUACACACUUUACGUGCAUUAUGGGGGAUGUAGUCCACAACAUCUGGAGUGCCAAAGGUUGCCUAUGAUUGGCCUAGGCUAAAAGAAGAUUGACAAGACCCUGAAACUGAGCUGCAGCAUGGUGGGCAAGACCAUAUAAUGGUUUCACAGGACAGGUUCCACUCAGAACAGGCCUCACCAUGGUUGACCAACAAAGUUGAGUGCAGGUGCUCAACAUCAUAGCCAGAGGUUGUCUUUGGGAAAUAGACGUAUGCCAGCAUUGCUGCAGAGGUUGUAGGGGUGGGGGUCAGCCUGUCUUUGCUCAGACCAUAUGCCGCACACUACAUCAAAUUGGUUUGUAUGUCUGUUGUCCCAGAUGGAAGCCUCUUCUAAAGAUGAUGCACAAGAAAGCCCGCAAACAGUUUGCUGAAGACAAGCAGACUAAGGACAUAGAUUACUGGAACCAUGUCCUAUGGUCCGAUGAGACAAAGAGAAACUUAUUCAGUUCAGAUGGUGUCAAGUGUGUGGCGGCUACAAGGUGAGGAGUACAAAGACAAGUGUGUCUUGCCUACAGUCAAGCAUUGAUGGGAGUGUCAUGGUCUGGGCCUGCAUGAGUGCUGCCGGCACUUGGGAGUUACAGUUCAUUGAGGGAACCAUGAAUGCCAACAUGUACGGAAGUCAUUGACACAUUCAUUACAGCUAAAAAUAAUUUCUCCUGUACACUAUACUCCGGUAUAUGAAAAUAAUACUACUCUUAAAUAGAAACAUAGAAUGUGACAGCAGGUAAGAACCAUUCGGCCCAUCUAGUCUGCCCAAUUGUCAAAAUACUGUUAAUUAGUCUCUGGCCUUAUUUUAAGUCUAGGAUAGCCUUAUGCCUAUCCCACACAUGCUUAAAUCCCCUCACUGUGUUAACCUCUACCACUUCAGCUGGAAGGCUAUUCCAUGCAUCCAUGAUCAUCUUUGUAAAGUAAUAAUUCCUGAAAUUAUUUUUAAAUCUUUGUCCCUCUUAUUUAAGACUAUGCCCUCUUGUUGUGGUAGUUUUUCUUCUCUUAAAUAUAGUCUCAUCC